rnacentral:rRNA from 1 species
CCUACGGGGGGCUGCAGUAACGAAUCUUCCGCAAUGCACGCAAGUGUGACGGAGCGACGCCGCGUGUGGGACGAAGUCCUUCGGGAUGUAAACCACUGUCAGGGGUUACCAAGUUCUGAGGAGCCCCAGAGGAAGAGACGGCUAACUCUGUGCCAGCAGCCGCGGUAAUACAGAGGUCUCGAGCGUUAGGCGGAAUCACUGGGCUUAAAGCGUGUGUAGGUGGAUGCCUAAGUACCUUGUGAAAUCCCACAGCUUAACUGUGGAACUGCUUGGUAUACUGGGUGUCUUGAGUCACUCAGGGGCGAGCGGAACAAAUGGUGGAGCGGUGAAAUGCGUAGAUAUCAUUUGGAACGCCAAUGGUGAAAACAGCUCGCUGGGGGUGCACUGACACUGAGACACGAAAGCCAGGGGAGCGAACGGGAUUAGAUACCCUAGUAGUC